rnacentral:rRNA from 1 species
UACGAAGGGGGCUAGCGUUGCUCGGAAUCACUGGGCGUAAAGGGUGCGUAGGCGGGUAUUUAAGGCAGGGGUGAAAUCCUGGAGCUCAACUCCAGAACUGCCUUUGAUACUGAGGAUCUUGAGUUCGGGAGAGGUGAGUGGAACUGCGAGUGUAGAGGUGAAAUUCGUAGAUAUUCGCAAGAACACCAGUGGCGAAGGCGGCUCACUGGCCCGAUACUGACGCUGAGGCGCGAAAGCCAGGGGAGCAAACGGG